UUUUAGGUAAAUUCUGCUCAAUGAGUGAAAACUUAAAUUGCUGCAGUCAGCUGUACUAAGGUAGCAUAAUAAGUUGUUUUUUAAUUAAAAACUAGCAUGAAAGAAAAAAUGAAAAAUAAGCUAUUUUGAGUCUUAGAAAUAGAAUUUAAUACCUAAGUGAAAAAUCUUAAAUAAUAUAAAAAGACAAGAAGACCCUUUAGAAUUUUAUAGCCAACACACAGCCCUUUUGUGUGCUUGCUAUUAAAUUGGGGAGAUUGCAAAAAUUAAAUAACUUUUGUUUAAAACUUACACCGAUUAGUGAAACUAAGAGUUUAAUUAUCCUUGAAAAAGAAACCAAAACAAAUUACCUAAGGGAUAACAGCGUAAAAUUUUUAAAAAGAUCACAUUUACAAAAUAAUUUACGACCUCGAUGUUGGAUUAAGCA
rnacentral:rRNA from 1 species